GGUGCAUCCAACGAGAGAAGUCUUAUUUUAGGUUUAUAGAAGACGAGGGCAGGGUAGGAGAGAUUCAGAAAAAGGACUCGGAUUGCAGCUACUCUAUGCAGAAAAGAAGUAAGGUGUAAUAUUCUCUUAUUUAAUAAAAGGGCAAAAUAGUAAUUUUAUAUAGAUAACAGCUAUUGCUAACAGAAUUUAACUUUAGGGCUAUAUUGAAAUAGGUUGGAACGUAAAAAGAGUAGUCAAAAAUUUUUUAGGAAUAUAUAAGCAAUUGCCCCUAUAUAUAAUUCUCUACUGAAACGUAACUCAAUCCUAGUAUAAUUAGGAUUUCUACUCCAAUAAAUAUUUAAAUCUUAAUUGAUUUAUCUCCAAUAUAUUUAAAUAUUUAUCCUAAUCUUGUUAGAUUUACACUGUAAUUAAUAUUUAAACCUUAAUUUAUGCUUAG
rnacentral:lncRNA from 1 species